rnacentral:rRNA from 1 species
AUACGUAGGGGGCAAGCGUUAUCCGGAUUUACUGGGUGUAAAGGGAGCGUAGACGGUGUGACAAGUCUGAUGUGAAAACCCGGGGCUCAACUCCGGGAUUGCAUUGGAAACUGCCAUACUUGAGUGCAGGAGAGGUAAGCGGAAUUCCUAGUGUAGCGGUGAAAUGCGUAGAUAUUAGGAGGAACACCGGCGGCGAAGGCGGCUUACUGGACUGUAACUGACGUUGAGGCUCGAAAGCGUGGGGAGCAAACAGGAUUAGAUACCCUGGUAGUCCACGCGGUAAACGAUGAAUACUAGGUGUUGGGGGUCUAUAGACCCUCGGUGCCGCAGCAAACGCAAUAAGUAUUCCACCUGGGGAGUACGUUCGCAAGAAUGAAACUCAAAGGAAUUGACGGGG